CUAGUUGGAGCCUAUUUUUGGGUAGAGAAGGAAGGAAGUAAAAUACCUAAUCACACCAACUGGCUCUCCCAAUUUUGUUUCAUUCUUUCACACAAAGCAUCACAUCACCACCACCCCAAAGCACGCAUUCACAAUAAUCAUUCUCUCUCUGGCGCAAGAAAAAAAGACAUGACAAUUUGCAUUAUUAUUCCCCCAAUUGAAACCACUCUUCACAUGCUUUUCCUGCUCAGGAAAUGUAUUGUUCAUCAUACUACUAUUUCUUGUUGGCCCUCCAAACCCUUGUGAUCUCUCUUUUUCAAGAUUCCACUUUCCCAUUUAUAUAUAUCUCUAUCCAUACACUUAACCUCAUCUCAUCUUCAAUAUACACAAAGCCAGCAUCUUUUGUUUUCUUCAACAUAGUGCCACUCCGGAAUGAAAAGAGCAGCGUACUACAGCUGUGUAGCCCAAAUGCAGGAUCAUUGGCCUAUCAAGAAGGCUCUGACAUUAUCUGAUGUAGAUAUCACUCAUCCAUUCCUCACUUUGUCUAGGCAACAAGUGGAGAAUCACAUUGUGUUGCAUAUGACAACAGAAGAACAGGAGCAUUUGAGAGCCCAAGGCCAAGUAGAUUUUAAUGCCCGAGAUGAUGAUACAGGUGAGAUGUAUGUGAUGAAGUUGAAAUGGCGGGGAAGCUAUUACAAUCUUAUCGGUAAGUGGGGCAGAGUUGUACGAGGGAAAGGACUUGAUGUUGGGCAAGAGAUUAAAAUACGUUGGGAAAAUGGGUGCUUACACUUCUCAGUCCCACAGCAGCAGAUUGUUGCAGUCCCACCAAUUCGGAUGGUUGCCGCACCAGUAGUGCAGGACCACUGGCCCAUUAAGAAGAUCUUGACCCUCUCUGAUGUCGACACUAAUCAUCCAUUUCUCCCUCUGCCCCGUCGAUUAGUUGAGGAUCAUAUCCUUCUGCAUUGGACACCUCAGCAACAAGAACAGCUGAGGAAGGAGGAGCAUGUGAAUGUAAAUGCCCGGGAUUAUGAUACCGGCGAAGCUUAUAUAAUGAAAUUUAAGUGGAGGGGGAAUUACUGUAACCUUAUUGGGAAAUGGGGAACAAUAAUUCGGCAGAAGGGACUUGGUGUUGGGAAAGAGAUCAGGUUGCGCUGGGCAAAUCAAUGCUUGUUCUUUUCAGUUCCCCAGGAGCGGUUUGUUGCCACAGCCUCGGGGAUGGAUAACUGGCCUAUUAAGAAGGCACUUACAUUGUCUGAUGUGGAUACCAAUCAUCCAUUUCUUACUUUGCCCGGCAAGGCUGUUGAAGAUCAUAUUCUUUUUUAUUGGUCACAGCAAGCCAGAGAACAACUGAGAAAUGAACAUCAGAUGAAUAUUAAUGCUCGAGAUGAUGACAAUGGUGAUGCCUAUUUGAUGAAGUUAAGAUGGCGGGGUAGUUAUUAUAAUCUCAUUGGAAAAUGGGGAAAAAUCAUUAGAGGGAAGAAACUUCAGGUUGGAAUGGAGAUCAGACUACACUGGGAUAAUAGAUGCUUAUUCUUCUCAGUUCCUCAGCUAUAGCAUUGCCCAACCUGUAAAUGUAGGUGAACCACCAAAUCGCUUUUCACAUUUCAUGCAUCAUUUCAACACACUGGAAAUUAAACUAUUUCAGACGAUAAUUCAUUGAAGCAAUGGCUUGGCAGAGCUGGAUUUAAAUCUAUCCAGGCAGCAAGUGACUGACCAAGCACAAAUUUUAUCAGGUGAUGCAAUGCAAUGCAACAGUUUUACUUCUUAUACUAGUCCUGUGAGGGUGUAACAAGUGGCACCUUUCCUCCUGGGAUAGUUCCACCCGUGCCUUACCUUUUGCGUGUAGUUUGGAUUGGCAAGUUGAUGUUAUAGGAUUGGUUUUUCAUUCAUUUGAGCUUUGAUAUUCCCCAUCGUUUUAUCCCAAUAUUUCCAAGUUGCUCUUAAGAUUUGAAGACAAAUUACCCCUGCUAUAGUUGAAUUCUGGUCAAUGAUGGAUUGUCUGGACUGACAGAUUGACUCUGCUGAGCCUUCUGCUGCACAUUGCUCGUAUAUAACACCAUGUUCUGUUCAGCGUUAAUAGCUAGAUGAUUCCAACUACUUGGAAGUCUUCAAGCCUGUCAUGAUCUCUAAUGAGCUGUUUCUACUGCAGUCAGUGUGACCUCUACCUUUGCUUUUGCAGAAAAAGGACAGUUGCUUUCUACCAGAUGUUUAUAAAUUGGUUCUUUAGUACAACCAAUUGGAUAUUCUUGUUUUGUGGGAAUUUCUUAUUACCAAAAGUUACUAGGAACUUCAGGAGUUUUGGGCCCUUAAAGCACAGACUCGGGAAGCCCUCGGAGCUUUCGUCUAUUGGUAAGAGCACAACACGUGAUGUGUGGAUUAGGUGCGCGUCAUGAGUUUGAACUCUGCCACAGGAAAGAGCCUAGCGUUUCAGUGGAGAAGGGUAAAUGUGUAGGUCCAUUAUCCACCGAGCUUCGGACAGUGCGCCAAUUGGCUCUCGAAGAUUUUUCGGUUAUCAACUGGAAAAAGAAGAGAUUCAGGGAGCCUAUACCUUGUGAAAUGAAAGGGUAUAUAAUUUUUGCAGUCGGGAACUGGUAAAGCUGGGUAUCAGAAAGUGACUGCAGCAUAGGAGUUAUUUUCUGUCAUUAGUCUGCUGAAACUGAAAGCACUAGACCCGAACACAGGGCUUGAUCAAAUUGCUUCUCUGGCUGCAAGAGUUUUUGACAUUUGCUGAUGUAUCCAAGUAAGCUACAAGCUUCAUUAAAGUGACUGUUACGCGGCCGGCAGCUGCUGUUGAUUCUGUAUGUUUCCUUAAGUAGUGAUACUUUCUAGAUCAUGAUAUAGUUGGGGAAUCUUUCAUUUGUCAUAUUGAUAUGAUCCGGAAUGGCUCUGUCACGACCCGACUAGGGGCCGUGACGAGUACCCGAUACUUGUACCGAGCACUCCUUAUCUAUCAUAUUACCUUUACCUCUUAACAAA